rnacentral:rRNA from 1 species
UGGGGAAUAUUGGACAAUGGGGGGAACCCUGAUCCAGCCAUGCCGCGUGUGUGAAGAAGGCCUUAUGGUUGUAAAGCACUUUAAGCGAGGAGGAGGGUACUGGUAUUAAUACUACCAGCUACUGGACGUUACUCGCAGAAUAAGCACCGGCUAACUCUGUGCCAGCAGCCGCGGUAAUACAGAGGGUGCGAGCGUUAAUCGGAUUUACUGGGCGUAAAGCGUGCGUAGGUGGUUCGUUAAGUUGAAUGUGAAAGCCCCGGGCUCAACCUGGGAACUGCAUCCAAAACUGGCGGGCUAGAGUAGGGCAGAGGGUGGUGGAAUUUCCUGUGUAGCGGUGAAAUGCGUAGAUAUAGGAAGGAACACAAGUGGCGAAGGCGACCACCUGGGCUCAUACUGACACUGAGGUGCGAAAGCGUGGGGAGCAAACAGG